UUAGCCAUAUCUCUUAAACUAAACUUAUUGUGACAGCCGAAACGAUUCUAAUGUGCAAAUUAAUCACUUGAUUUCGAUAAAAGAUGAAAGAUUAAUCGAACAAUCUAGUAGCUGAUCCUCUGAAAUCAGGAUAAUUGAAGUACGUAAUGAAGCUGUUAUAUUUGGUAAUGCGAUUGAUUGAAGGAAUUGUGGGACGAAACGUCUUCAACCUGUUCUCAAACUUUCAAUGAGUAUGACGUCUUGCUUGCUCGAAUGAAGCGUAGACAUUGAA
rnacentral:ncRNA from 1 species